rnacentral:rRNA from 1 species
GACGAACGCUGGCGGCGUGCCUAAUACAUGCAAGUCGAGCGCGCGGCGGACGGGUGAGUAAUGUCUGGGAAACUGCCUGAUGGAGGGGGAUAACUACUGGAAACGGUAGCUAAUACCGCAUACCAUCAGAUGUGCCCAGAUGGGAUUCGCUAGUAGGUGGGGUAAUGGCUCACCUAGGCGACGAUCCCUAGCUGGUCGGAGAGGAUGACCAGCCACACUGGAACUGAGACACGGUCCAGACUCCUACGGGAGGCAGCAGUGGGGAAUAUUGCACAAUGGGCGCAAGCCUGAUGCAGCCAUGCCGCGUGGGUGAAGAAGGCCUUCGGGUUGUAAAGCACUUUCAUCGAGGAGGCGUUACUCGAAGAGGAAGCACCGGCUAACUCCGUGCCAGCAGCCGCGGUAAUAC